UUUAUGUAACAGCUCUAUUCACAGAACUUUCUACAGAGGCUAGCCUGAGAAAAAUCUUCAGAGACACAGAUUUUAAUAAUUAACGAUGAAAACUAUUUUCAUUUAAAAAACAUUGGAAGAAGUAAGGUGAUACAGGUUUUCUAUGUCAUACACGGAAGUCAUUGGGGGAAGUAAGAGGAAAAUGAAGAUACAAUAGUCUCUCUAAAAUAUCAGAAAGAGAGCUAAGCUUUUCAAAAGUUGGAUUUUAAACCUUAAUUCACAUUAAUUCAUCUAAAUGUCAGAGACAUAAGAUAUAUGUCUAUACUUUUAGAAUUCUAGAAAAGAAAAAUAAAACUCCAAAGAAUUUUAUCCUUUAUAGGUCUGCUUUUGGUAUCUGGGUAACAAGAAACGAGUUUUACAAAAUAAGUGAAUUAUUUGAUCACACAUUAAGAUAAAGAGAAUGUUUAAAAACUGUUUGAAAAAAAUCACUGCAAGCCUGUUAUUGUUAAAGUAAUUAGGUUUCCACAAAUUAAGAGCGAAACAAUAUUCACUUCAAAAUAAGGACUUUAAAAAGAAAUGGUAUAUUUUGUAAAGUUGAGUAAAAUGUAUGGCACUUUUACAGGUACUUGUAAUAUAUCUAAUAACUUAUGAUUUUACCUUUAAUUCUGUGUGUUUGCCUUGCUGUGUAGACCAGGGUGGUCUGGAACUUGUGGCAAUCCUGUCUUCUGUUUCCUGAAGGCAGGAAUUAUAGGUGCGCAAUCCCACAGCUGGCACUAUUUACUACUUUAAGGUAAGUUUCUAUAACAUUGUCCCAGCUCUGUUCUAUGACACAGAAAAGGACUGAUUC
rnacentral:lncRNA from 1 species